UUUUAUAAAUUCUUUAUAUAUUUUGUAUGGAUACAUUUUUAAAAAACAGCCUUAUUGAUAUAUAAUUCACAUGCUAUAAAAUUCAGUCAUUUAAUCUGUACAAUUAAUUGGCUUUUAGUAUCUUCACAGAAUCAUGUAUCUAGCACCCAAAUCAAUUUAGAACAUUUUUAUUGCCAUGAAAAGAAACCCCACACCAUUUAGCUAUUGUCUUUGAAUUUCCCAUUUCUUCCCCCCCACCCAAGACCUAGGCAACUAGUAAUAACUUUGUAUCUCUACAGAUUUACCUCUUCUAGACUUUUCAUAUCAAUGGAAUCCUACAAUAUGUGGUCCUUUGUGCCUGGCUUCUUUGACUUUGUAUAAUGUUUUCAAGGUUAUUCUAUUUGUAGCAUAUAUUAGUACUUCAUCAGUACUUCAUGUCUUUUCAUGGCCAAAUAAUAUUCCAUUGUAUGGCUAUACCCCUUAUUGUUUAUCCGUUCAUCAGUUGAUGGACAUUUGAGUCGCUUUGAAGAGGCAAUAAUCCUUUAUUCUGUUAAGACUGAAAUAAAAUAAACCAGCAGGUAGUCUACUCCAAUAUAUUAACAAUUUUAAAACAUUACCUUAUGGAUUUUUAUGGGACUGACUGGGCAAAAAUAUUCUGUAAAAAUAUUGACGAUCUAAAUAACUGUGAUUAAGAUUCAACCAAGGUUUAUGAGAAAUGGUGCAGUACUACAACUAUUGCCAGUCCCUAUUCAGAGUUACAUACAGCUCCCAAAUUGUUUGUGGGAGACUUCUCAACAAUGCUUAAAGAUAAGCUGUUGCCUAUAGAUUAUGUGAACAUAAAGACAUGAGUGUUCUAGAAGACAGAGUCAGUUACCCUAAUGACAAUGUAAAAGUUUUCACCAUGUAUGUCCAACGCUGGAAUCUUACAUCAUUUACAUUAUUAUAAAUGUAUUCUGUUGAAGUGAGAGAAUUCAGAGCCCCGGUCUAAAUGUCAUGUAUGUGCUUUUUUACAAACUGUCUCCAUUACUACUUCCUCCUUCACCUAGGACAAACUACAGGAAAGUGCUCUACAGAUGGUUCUAAGAAGUCUUCGAUGAAGCUAAAGAGAGCAGAUUUCUCUAGUGUGUCGCCACCAUCCCCCUCUGGAGACUUGGGAAGCAGAAGGAUAGCAGUGAGACAGAGUGAAGCUGACAUGCAUAGAGAAGCUGGGAUUGUUUUCUCAGGGAAACUACCAUGUCUUGAAGACACUCAAGCAGCCCUAUGGAGAGACCCAUGUGGCAAGGAACUGAGGUCCACAGCCAGCAACCAGUGUGUGCACUUGGCAGACACGAGUAAGCUACCUUGGAAGCAGGUCUUUUAAGCCUCAUUAAACUUUCAGAUAACAACAUUCCUGGCUGACAUCUUAUAUAUAACCUCAGGAAAGACCCCCAAGUCAAACCCAGCAAGGAGAAAAUUUCACUGUCUUGAAGUGAUCUGCUUCCUGACACAAUCACCAUUAUUUAUAUAUUUAAAAGGAGAAAGAGGCAUAUGAGUACAAGAUAUAUAAGUACAUCUAAGGUGGAUUACUGCUCAUUUGCGUUUUCCAGGAGGCAUCGUGCAGACCAAUAGAUCCAGUGAUAAGAAAUUUCCUUAAGGACAAGGAUUCCUCAGUGUGCUUUUUAUUAAAGGAUGCAGAAAAUCUUG